GAUGAACGCUGGCGGCGUGCCUAAUACAUGCAAGUCGAGCGAACAGACGAGGAGCUUGCUCUUCUGAUGUUAGCGGCGGACGGGUGAGUAACACGUGGAUAACCUACCUAUAAGACUGGGAUAACUUCGGGAAACCGGAGCUAAUACCGGAUAAUAUUUUGAACCGCAUGGUUCAAAAGUGAAAGACGGUCUUGCUGUCACUUAUAGAUGGAUCCGUGCUGCAUUAGCUAGUUGGUAAGGUAACGGCUUACCAAGGCAACGAUGCAUAGCCGACCUGAGAGGGUGAUCGGCCACACUGGAACUGAGACACGGUCCAGACUCCUACGGGAGGCAGCAGUAGGGAAUCUUCCGCAAUGGGCGAAAGCCUGACGGAGCAACGCCGCGUGAGUGAUGAAGGUCUUCGGAUCGUAAAACUCUGUUAUUAGGGAAGAACAUAUGUGUAAGUAACUGUGCACGUCUUGACGGUACCUAAUCAGAAAGCCACGGCUAACUACGUG
rnacentral:rRNA from 1 species